rnacentral:rRNA from 1 species
AGUGAACGCUGGCGGUAGGCCUAACACAUGCAAGUCGAACGGCAGCACAGUAAGAGCUUGCUCUUACGGGUGGCGAGUGGCGGACGGGUGAGGAGUACAUCGGAAUCUACUUUUUCGUGGGGGAUAACGUAGGGAAACUUACGCUAAUACCGCAUACGACCUACGGGUGAAAGCAGGGGAUCUUCGGACCUUGCGCGAUUGAAUGAGCCGAUGUCGGAUUAGCUAGUUGGCGGGGUAAAGGCCCACCAAGGCGACGAUCCGUAGCUGGUCUGAGAGGAUGAUCAGCCACACUGGAACUGAGACACGGUCCAGACUCCUACGGGAGGCAGCGGUGGGGAAUAUUGGACAAUGGGCGCAAGCCUGAUCCAGCCAUACCGCGUGGGUGAAGAAGGCCUUCGGGUUGUAAAGCCCUUUUGUUGGGAAAGAAAAGCAGCAGGUUAAUACCCCGCUGUUCUGACGGUACCCAAAGAAUAAGCACCGGCUAACUUCGUG